GGAAUGAUGGUGACCUAAACCCUCACCAGAGUAACAAUUGGAGGGCAAGUCUGGUGCCAGCAGCCGCGGUAAUUCCAGCUCCAAUAGCGUAUAUUAAACUUGUUGCAGUUAAAAAGCUCGUAGUUGAAUUUUUGCGUGGUGUUAAUAUUGACUGAUGUCGAGAUUGCACUUCGCUUUUGGGAUUUUUCCCUUUUUACUUUGAGAAAAUUAGAGUGUUUCAAGCAGACUUUUGUCUUGAAUACUUCAGCAUGGAAUAAUAGAGUAGGACUUUGGUUCUAUUUUGUUGGUUUGUGAACCUUAGUAAUGGUUAAUAGGAACGGUUGGGGGCAUUCGUAUUUAACUGUCAGAGGUGAAAUUCUUAGAUUUGUUAAAGACGAACUACUGCGAAAGCAUUUGCCAAGGACGUUUUCAUUAAUCAAGAACGAAAGUUAGGGGAUCGAAGACGAUCAGAUACCGUCGUAGUCCUAACCAUAAACUAUGCCGACUAGGGAUUGGAGGUCGUCAUUUUUCCGACUCCUUCAGCACCUUGAGAGAAAUC
rnacentral:rRNA from 1 species